CGAGGGUGCAAGCGUUAUCCGGAUUCACUGGGUUUAAAGGGAGCGCAGGCGGACCUGUAAGUCAGUGGUGAAAUACCUGAGCUUAACUCGGGAACUGCCAUUGAUACUAUCGGUCUUGAAUGUUGUUGAGGUUUGCGGAAUGGGUCAUGUAGCGGUGAAAUGCAUAGAUAUGACCCGGAACACCUAUUGCGAAGGCAGCAGGCUAAACAAAUAUUGACGCUGAGGCUCGAAAGCGUGGGGAUCAAACAGGAUUAGAUACCCUGGUAGUCCACGCCCUAAACUAUGAUUACUCGACAUACGCGAUACACUGUGUGUGUCUGAGCGAAAGCAUUAAGUAAUCCACCUGGGAAGUACGACCGCAAGGUUG
rnacentral:rRNA from 1 species